rnacentral:rRNA from 1 species
GUUGCGAACGGGUGAGUAACGCGUAGGUAACCUGCCUUGUAGCGGGGGAUAACUAUUGGAAACGAUAGCUAAUACCGCAUAACAAUGGAUGACACAUGUCAUUUAUUUGAAAGGGGCAAUUGCUCCACUACAAGAUGGACCUGCGUUGUAUUAGCUAGUAGGUGAGGUAAUGGCUCACCUAGGCGACGAUACAUAGCCGACCUGAGAGGGUGAUCGGCCACACUGGGACUGAGACACGGCCCAGACUCCUACGGGAGGCAGCAGUAGGGAAUCUUCGGCAAUGGGGGCAACCCUGACCGAGCAACGCCGCGUGAGUGAAGAAGGUUUUCGGAUCGUAAAGCUCUGUUGUAAGUCAAGAACGGGUGUGAGAGUGGAAAGUUCACACUGUGACGGUAGCUUACCAGAAAGGGACGGCUAACUACGUGCCAGCAGCCGCGGUAAUACGUAGGUCCCGAGCGUUGUCCGGAUUUAUUGGGCGUAAAGCGAGCGCAGGCGGUUUGAUAAGUCUGAAGUUAAAGGCUGUGGCUCAACCAUAGUUCGCUUUGGAAACUGUCAAACUUGAGUGCAGAAGGGGAGAGUGGAAUUCCAUGUGUAGCGGUGAAAUGCGUAGAUAUAUGGAGGAACACCGGUGGCGAAAGCGGCUCUCUGGUCUGUAACUGACGCUGAGGCUCGAAAGCGUGGGGAGCGAACAGGAUUAGAUACCCUGGUAGUCCACGCCGUAAACGAUGAGUGCUAGGUGUUGGAUCCUUUCCGGGAUUCAGUGCCGCAGCUAACGCAUUAAGCACUCCGCCUGGGGAGUACGACCGCAAGGUUGAAACUCAAAGGAAUUGACGGGGGCCCGCACAAGCGGUGGAGCAUGUGGUUUAAUUCGAAGCAACGCGAAGAACCUUACCAGGUCUUGACAUCCCGAUGCUAUUUCUAGAGAUAGAAAGUUACUUCGGUACAUCGGUGACAGGUGGUGCAUGGUUGUCGUCAGCUCGUGUCGUGAGAUGUUGGGUUA